rnacentral:lncRNA from 1 species
GCAACCCCCGUCUUCACUCCUAUGCCUGCUAACCCUAACCAACCGAACACCACCCAAGCCGCCUUACCAUCCACCAUUUUUCUCUCUAUUACUUGCUCUGUCUCUCUUUGGAGAUGGAGUUUAUUUAAUUAAUUUUUUUUUUUUUUGGAAGUAAGAAGUAGUAUAAGAGUGACUUGAUGCCUGUCUUUGUUCAUUCUAUACGGUGGGGCUGUAGACACCAACAAUUCAGCAUAAGAGCUAAAAGGCUCCUUUAUCAAACCUUCCCCCUUUUCAUAAUAAUUCUCUCUUUGUCUGUCAUUCUCAAUACCCCCCUCCCUCGAGAGUGGUUUUUUUAUAUUUUAAACUUCUAUUUUUUAUUUAAACAAUAACAAUUUGUUACUUUGAAACAAAUUAUAUGAUAAAAAAAUUAUAAACUUAUCUUAACCAGUCAACUGGCCUAACUCAUGUUGUGAAUGUCUUAACCGUUGGUCAAAUU